GGUGCUGUAGUUCAGUGGUAGAGCACUUGCCUAGCAUGCAUGAGGCAUUGGGUUUGAUCCUCAGCACCA
rnacentral:tRNA from 1 species